rnacentral:rRNA from 1 species
UGCCCCAGUAACGGCGAGUGAAGCGGCAACAGCUCAAAUUUGAAAUCUGGCCCCCCCCGCGGGGCCCGAGUUGUACUUUGGAGAGGAUGCUUUGGGCGCGGCGCCGGCCGAGUUCCCUGGAACGGGACGCCAGAGAGGGUGAGAGCCCCGUACGGCCGGACGCCCAGCCCGUGCAAAGCUCCUUCGACGAGUCGAGUAGUUUGGGAAUGCUGCUCAAAACGGGAGGUAAAUUUCUUCUAAAGCUAAAUACCGGCCAGAGACCGAUAGCGCACAAGUAGAGUGAUCGAAAGAUGAAAAGCACUUUGAAAAGAGGGGUUAAACAGCACGUGAAAUUGUUGAAAGGGAAGCGCCUGGGGCCAGACGUGCGCCC